rnacentral:rRNA from 1 species
CCUUUGUACACACCGCCCGUCGCUACUACCGAUUGAAUGGCUAAGUGAGACCUUCGGACUGGCCUAGGAAGAGUGGCAACACUCAUCUCAGGCCGGAAAGUUGUUCAAACUUGGUCAUUUAGAGG